rnacentral:rRNA from 1 species
GAUGAACGCUGGCGGUGUGCCUAAUACAUGCAAGUCGAGCGAACAGACGAGGAGCUUACUCCUCUGACGUUAGCGGCGGACGGGUGAGUAACACGUGGAUAACCUACCUAUAAGACUGGGAUAACUUCGGGAAACCGGAGCUAAUACCGGAUAACAUGUUGAACCGCAUGGUUCAACAGUGAAAGACGGUCUUGCUGUCACUUAUAGAUGGAUCCGCGUCGCAUUAGCUAGUUGGUAAGGUAACGGCUUACCAAGGCAACGAUGCGUAGCCGACCUGAGAGGGUGAUCGGCCAAACUGGAACUGAGACACGGUCCAGACUCCUACGGGAGGCAGCAGUAGGGAAUCUUCCGCAAUGGGCGAAAGCCUGACGGAGCAACGCCGCGUGAGUGAAGAAGGUCUUCGGAUCGUAAAACUCUGUUAUUAGGGAAGAACAAAUGUGUAAGUAACUAUGCACGUCUUGACGGUACCUAAUCAGAAAGCCACGGCUAACUACGUG